GACGAACCGUGCUAACGUUGUUCGGAAUCACUGGGCUUAAAGGGCGCGUAGGCGGCUUGCCAAGUCAGGGGUGAAAUCUUUCGGCUUAACCGGAAAAGUGCCUUUGAUACUGGCGAGCUAGAGUGAGGUAGGGGUAUGUGGAACUUCCGGUGGAGCGGUGAAAUGUUUUGAUAUCGGAAGGAACGCCGGUGGCGAAAGCGACGUACUGGACCUCUUCUGACGCUGAGGCGCGAAAGCUAGGGGAGCAAACGGG
rnacentral:rRNA from 2 species